rnacentral:rRNA from 1 species
GACGAACGUUGGCGGCGUGCUUAACACAUGCAAGUCGAACGGAAAGGCCCUGCUUUUGUGGGGUGCUCGAGUGGCGAACGGGUGAGUAACACGUGAGUAACCUGCCCUUGACUUUGGGAUAACUUCAGGAAACUGGGGCUAAUACCAGAUAGGAGCUCCUGCUGCAUGGUGGGGGUUGGAAAGUUUCGGCGGUUGGGGAUGGACUCGCGGCUUAUCAGCUUGUUGGUGGGGUAGUGGCUUACCAAGGCUUUGACGGGUAGCCGGCCUGAGAGGGUGACCGGCCACAUUGGGACUGAGAUACGGCCCAGACUCCUACGGGAGGCAGCAGUGGGGAAUAUUGCACAAUGGGCGGAAGCCUGAUGCAGCAACGCCGCGUGCGGGAUGACGGCCUUCGGGUUGUAAACCGCUUUCGCCUGUGACGAAGCGUGAGUGACGGUAAUGGGUAAAGAAGCACCGGCUAACUACGUGCCAGCAGCCGCGGUGAUACGUAGGGUGCGAGCGUUGUCCGGAUUUAUUGGGCGUAAAGGGCUCGUAGGUGGUUGAUCGCGUCGGAAGUGUAAUCUUGGGGCUUAACCCUGAGCGUGCUUUCGAUACGGGUUGACUUGAGGAAGGUAGGGGAGAAUGGAAUUCCUGGUGGAGCGGUGGAAUGCGCAGAUAUCAGGAGGAACACCAGUGGCGAAGGCGGUUCUCUGGGCCUUUCCUGACGCUGAGGAGCGAAAGCGUGGGGAGCGAACAGGCUUAGAUACCCUGGUAGUCCACGCUGUAAACGGUGGGUACUAGGUGUGGGGUCCAUUCCACGGGUUCCGUGCCGUAGCUAACGCUUUAAGUACCCCGCCUGGGGAGUACGGCCGCAAGGCUAAAACUCAAAGGAAUUGACGGGGCCCCGCACAAGCGGCGGAGCAUGCGGAUUAAUUCGAUGCAACGCGUAGAACCUUACCUGGGUUUGACAUGGAUCGGGAGUGCUCAGAGAUGGGUGUGCCUCUUUUGGGGUCGGUUCACAGGUGGUGCAUGGCUGUCGUCAGCUCGUGUCGUGAGAUGUUGGGUUAAGUCCCGCAACGAGCGCAACCCUUGUUCACUGUUGCCAGCACGUUAUGGUGGGGACUCAGUGGAGACCGCCGGGGUCAACUCGGAGGAAGGUGGGGAUGACGUCAAGUCAUCAUGCCCCUUAUGUCCAGGGCUUCACGCAUGCUACAAUGGCUGGUACAGAGAGUGGCGAGCCUGUGAGGGUGAGCGAAUCUCGGAAAGCCGGUCUCAGUUCGGAUUGGGGUCUGCAACUCGACCUCAUGAAGUCGGAGUCGCUAGUAAUCGCAGAUCAGCAACGCUGCGGUGAAUACGUUCCCGGG